rnacentral:rRNA from 1 species
UCCUACGGGACGCAGCAGUGGGGAAUAUUGCACAAUGGGGGAAACCCUGAUGCAGCAACGCCGCGUGAAGGAAGACGGUUUUCGGAUUGUAAACUUCUGUUCUUAGUGAAGAAUAAUGACGGUAGCUAAGGAGCAAGCCACGGCUAACUACGUGCCAGCAGCCGCGGUAAUACGUAGGUGGCAAGCGUUGUCCGGAAUUACUGGGUGUAAAGGGAGCGCAGGCGGGAAGCCAAGUCAGCCGUGAAAACUACGGGCUUAACUUGUAGACUGCAGGUGAAACUGGUUUUUUUGAGUGAAGUAGAGGU